rnacentral:tRNA from 1 species
UCGCGGGGUGGAGCAGGGGUCAGCUCGUUGGGCUCAUAACCCAAAGGUCGGAGGUUCGAAUCCUCCCCCCGCUAU